UACGUAGGGGGCAAGCGUUGUUCGGAAUUACUGGGCGUAAAGGGCGCGUAGGCGGCACGGCAAGUCGGGAGUGAAAGCCCGGGGCUCAACCCCGGAGGGUCUUCCGAAACUGCCGAGCUAGAGUGCGGAAGAGGCAACCGGAAUUCCCAGUGUAGAGGUGAAAUUCGUAGAUAUUGGGAAGAACACCGGUGGCGAAGGCGGCCAACUGGACCACAACUGACGCUGAGGCGCGAAAGCGUGGGGAGCAAACAGG
rnacentral:rRNA from 1 species